AACAACAAAAAAACCAGAUUAAAGACAGCAGGUGGAGCCCACAUCAGAAGAUUUCUGUACAGUUUCUUUGAGUGUGGCUUCUUUCACUUGGCGUAAUACAUCUGAGAUCAUCUGUGAUGCCUGAAUAGCUGUUCAUUCCUUUUUCCUGCUGAGUAGUAUUCCAUGAUGAGGCACCUGCUGCUCAAAGAAGUGAAGAAACUUGCUCGAGAUCACGAAGUCAUCAAGUGGAGGAGUUGUAUUUGCACUUAGAUGGUCUCACCCUCCAGUCUUAAACAUUAUUCUGUGUUACCUCCCAAGAAGAGGGGUAUUCCCCACGUGGCUCUGCUGUUAAAGAUAGGAUGAGGUCUCUGGGAAGGAGAUGACCUCCUGAGGGCCACGCAUGUGAAGAAAGAGGAAGUGGCGGAGGAGCAAGAAGGAGAAGAUAUGGUAAUACUUGACUUUUACAACAUUGUCUAUUCUGAGGGCUAUUAUAUGUGGUCUCCAAGCAACCCAGUAGAGUGGACAGGAAGGAAAUAUAUCUCUUAAUUUCAGUUUCCUCAGUUAUAAAAUGGGGCACGAGACUUAUUUAAAGUCUCAAAACUAGCAAGUGUCAGAGAGGACUCUAAAACCCAGGUCUCCAGCUCCAAGUUUAGUGCCUUUCCCACCAUAUCAGCCAGCUCACUGCUUAUGACAUAGACUUGAGUAAAGAAACUUCUGGAUGACUUGAUGAUUUCUCUAGAACACUAGUUCUUCAACAGUGUUAAAGGUAUUACACACACACACAUGCACACGCACACACACAUGCACACAUAGGCAUUUCUGUUAAAUAAGUCUGUGGACGCUAGAAUGAGGAAAGGCAAAUAUGCUUCUUUGCCUCAGGACUUCUCGGUGCCUUUUCAGGCUACUGAACAAGGGAUUUUUUUUAACUCAAUGAAUUUUAUUACAUUUAUAGUUGUACAAUGAUCAUCACAACCCAAUUUUUAUAGCAUUUCCAUCCCAAACCCCCAUCCCCCAACCUGUGUCUUUUGGAAACCAUACAUUUUCAAAGUCUGGAGUCAGUAUCUGUUCUACAAAGAAGUUCAUUGUAUCCUUUUUCUAGAUUCCACAUAUAGGUGAUAGCAUAUGACAUUAGUGGCUCACUAACUUCACUUAGCAUGAUAAUUUCUAAGCCCAUCCAUGUUGCUGCAAAUGUCAUUAUUUCUUUCCUUUUUAUGGCUGAGUAAUAUUCCAUUGUGUAUAUGUACCACCUUCUUUGUCCACGCCUCUGUCAAUGGACAUUUAAGUUGCUUCCAUGUCUUGGCUAUUAAAUACAGUGUUGCAGUGAAUAUUAGAGUACAUGUAUCAUUUUGAGUCAUGGUUUUCUCUGGAUAGAUGCCCAGGAGUGGGAUUGCUGGAUCAAAUGGUAAUUCUAUUUUUAGUUUCUUGAGGAAUAUCCAUACUGUUUUCCACAGUGGUUCCACCAAUUUACCUUCCCACCAACAGUGUAAUAGGCUUCCCUUUUAUCCAUACCCUCUCCAGCAUUUAUUGUUUGUAGGGAUUUCUUGAUACUAUUCAAAACAGGGAGAAAGGAUACAGUGACGUCUUCUGUUGUGGAAUUCUUUCUUCACGGGUUACCUGGUAAGAACUAGUUUUCUAAGAAACAUGCUUGUAGAAUCCUUGCUUUGAUUUGCAAUUUUCUUCUUUAGCUCCCUCUAAAAACUUCAGAGAGAUGCUUAUGUGAACCGAGGAAGAUAUGGGGGGUGGUAACUCAGUGAUUAGCAGCACAUUUGUUUUUGGGCUGGGUGACCAUCACACCCAGCUCUCUGUUCUUACACAGGUCUGUCCUUCAAAGGCCUCAGAUCUCCAUAGGGGAAGGCUGGCCUGGAGGUCCAGGGCUCUGCUAACCCCUGUGGUGUGAUCUUAGGCAAGUCAAGUUCCCACUUUGGACUUUGGAUUCCUGUCCUGUAAAGAGUACGUGCGUCUCACCAAGGCACUCUGUUAAGAUACAGAAUCUAGUCCUCCCUAGAGAUUACCAUUCAGUGGGUUUGGGGUGAGGUUUUGGAAUCUGUAUUUAUAAUUGUCAUGCCUGUGAUUUUGGUGUGAAAGCCUGUCUACACUAGGGCCCUGAAGGGUUUAUUUAGACCAGUGAGGAUCACAGAGAGGGCUCUGAACACAUGAAAGAGAUGAGGAAGUCAGCCCUACACCUCAGGUGAUGUCAAGUGCCCGCCUCCCUGAGAAGCAGCCAUUCUACCCCAGACUCCCAUCAUCCACAUCUUCUUACCUGGGCUUUACUAUUUUUAUUCCUCUCUAUUUGGUAAUUAUUUACUAACAGCUCUCUUGGGGAGAUGGGAGGUAUCCCUUUGUGUAUCUACAAUUCACUACCUAUUAUGAGGCAUUACCAAAAAAAAAAAAAAA
rnacentral:lncRNA from 9 species